GAUGAACGCUGGCGGCGUGUCUAAUACAUGCAAGUCGAGCGAACAGACGAGGAGCUUGCUCCUCUGACGUUAGCGGCGGACGGGUGAGUAACACGUGGAUAACCUACCUAUAAGACUGGGAUAACUUCGGGAAACCGGAGCUAAUACCGGAUAAUAUAUUGAACCGCAUGGUUCAAUAGUGAAAGACGGUUUUGCUGUCACUUAUAGAUGGAUCCGCGCCGCAUUAGCUAGUUGGUAAGGUAACGGCUUACCAAGGCGACGAUGCGUAGCCGACCUGAGAGGGUGAUCGGCCACACUGGAACUGAGAAACGGUCCAGACUCCUACGGGAGGCAGCAGUAGGGAAUCUUACGCAAUGGGCGAAAGCCUGACGGAGCAACGCCGCGUGAGUGAUGAAGGUCUUCGGAUCGUAAAACUCUGUUAUUAGGGAAGAACAAAUGUGUAAGUAACUAUGCACGUCUUGACGGUACCUAAUCAGAAAGCCACGGCUAACUACGUG
rnacentral:rRNA from 1 species